ensembl:lncRNA
GCUUAGACUAGUGUAUCAAAUGUACACCAGUGUACCUCACUUCUAAUAAUUAGACUAGCAUAUCAAACGAACUUAGACUAGCAUAUCAAACGAACUCAGACUAGCAUAUCAAACGAACUCAGACUAGCAUAUCAAACGAACUCAGACUAGCAUAUCAAACGAACUCAGACUAGCAUAUCAAACGAACUUAGACUAGCAUAUCAAAAGAACUUAGACUAGCAUAUCAAACGAACUUAGACUAGCAUAUCAAAAGAACUUAGACUAGCAUAUCAAACGAACUUAGACUAGCAUAUCAAACGAACUUAGACUAGCAUAUCAAACGAACUCAGACUAGCAUAUCAAACGAACUCUUACUAGCAUAUCAAACGAACUUAGACUAGCAUAUCAAAAGAACUUAGACUAGCAUAUCAAAAGAACUUAGACUAGCAUAUCAAAAGAACUUAGACUAGCAUAUCAAACGAACUUAGACUAGCAUAUCAAAAGAACUUAGACUAGCAUAUCAACAUACACUAUGUACAACACAUCUAAUAUUUAGACUAGCGUAUCAAAAGAACUUAGACUAGCAUAUUAAAAAAAAUAAACUAGCAUAUCAAUAUAUACUAAUGUACUUCACUUCUAAUACUUAGACUCGCAUAAAAAGUGCUUAGACUAGCGUAUCAAAAGAACUCAGACUGUCAUAUCAAAUGUACACUAGUGUACUUCACUUCUAAUACAUAGACUAGCAUAUAAUGCGCUUAGACUAGCAUAAAAAACAACUAAGACUAGCAUAAAAAGUGCUUAGACUAGCAUAUAAUGCGCUUAGACUAGCAUAAAAAACAACUUAGACUAGCAUAAAAAGUGCUUAGACUAGCAUAUAAUGCGCUUAGACUAGCAUAAAAAGUGCUUAGACUAGCAUAUCAACAGUACACUAGCGUACUUAACUUCUAGUACACCUCCACAUCCUAGAUAAAAAGUAAACUAUCAUACUUCUCUUCAACGUCGCCUAGUUCAUCAAAUGUAGUUUUCAGUUCAGUUUAAUUCUAGAUACUUACAAAUGCUAGUAUAUAAAAAGUGCACUAGCAUACUUUGUUCUAGGUACUAAAACUAGCACAUCACUGUUGGCCCCUUCAACAUUCUAUUACUUUUAGGUUUUUUUAUUCUACGAAACACAUCUUAACUGGCUUUUACUCUGGCUUUUACCUCUCCAACCCAAAGCCCGUCUCACUGAGACCCACCCACUAAUCAUUAAUAUUCAUAAAUCAGACCCCCGGUGUUUUAUUAAUAUUCAUUACUUUAUAGCGAUCAUACUUUAUGUAGUUUGGAAGCUAAUGAGCUAACGUUAGCAUUAGCAAUGCACCGUGAGGGCAUCCUCCUGCAUUAACAGCACACUGGAGUAGUUUCUACUUCGAUGGAUAGAGAGUGAUAGAAAUAAAUCUCUCACGUAGCGUAGAUGAAGUCAGACGUUUUGACGAGGGAACCGAAGAAACUCGACGUUUUAUUUUAAUAUGAAACGUGGAUCCUUUAACACGUCAGCGUCCGCUCCGGGAUCGGGGUCGAGCGAGCAUCAAAUCUAACAAAACUCAAAUACUAAUAUUUAAAUAAAAGUCAAAUUAAUCCGAUUUUUUAACUUGUGUGUGUGUUUGUGUGUGUGUGUGUUUGUGUGUGUGUGUGUGUACGCUUGCGUUAUUUAUUUCAUCUGGAUGGCUUGAAGCCAGCGUCCAUGUCGGGUCCUCGAGUGACCUCUCAGUGACCUGACGGCUUUCAUUAAAAUCCCAUCACGUAGCUCCUGUGCGGUUUCCAGGAUGGAUUAAUAAAAAAAUGAAAAGGAAAAGAAAGAAAAGAAAAAAAAACGAGUGCAGGAUUUCCUCUGAUGUUCAGUCGUGAUAAACGCGCCUCGGAUUAAUCGUCAGAUUGCAGCUAAGCUUAGCGGAACGUGGGGUUUUGAAUCGUUUUCAAACGAUUGUUCGAUUAUACGGAUGACGGAUCAGACCGAACAGGGCCGCAGGUGUGUGUGUGUGUGUGUGUGUGUGUGUGUGUGUACGCUUGUGUACUGAGUUAAUGAAGGAAAGAGCGGGAGGACAGUGAUGAAGUGUUUUCCUCCUCCCCGAUAACUUCACUUCCCACCCGGACGAUCGGACUCGUAAGCGUGCCGCGUCCACAGGGAUCCUCUCCGACGACCACUUCGCUCAUUACGCGCUCUUCUUUCUUUCAUUAUUAAUAAAAUGAAUAAAAGCGAUCCUUUUUAUUUUUAUUCACUUCACACAAACGAGGCUGACGUGUAGAGAAAGGAAAUGCUUAGCACUGUCACUGGCAUCCGGUUCAUUUAAUGGCAAAGAUUCUUUCCAAAAAAAAACGAAAAGUAUUUGUUUCUGUGUCAGUAAAUAAUUCAAAACUGAAAUAUUCCCACGCUCCACGUUAGCGUACACUCGUAUAAUCUAAAACAUGACAUUUUAUUUAUUGAUAACUUUUUUAUCGGACACUGAUUAGGGUCGAUAUUUAUCACAUUUUUAACCGCAGAUGAAAAAAACCAAAACAAACAUACUCGAUAUUCUUCUUAGCAACAAGGCCGCACAUGAAGAAAAUCAAUGUGAUGGAGUAAUUCGUGUCAAAUUCAAUAUUUCUAUUUGUUUCUGGAAGGUUCAUUAAAGUGGAAAAAAAAAAAAAAUCCACUCUGGAUGUUUAGAAUAUUAAUCCGUGUCAUAUUAAGUGAAAUUCGGACAUUUCUGAUUCUUUCAUCGACACGUCUCUCUGUUUUCGUUUCGGUUCGGGUUUCCCGCAUUACCCACAAUGCCGCUCGAAUACCUUUUGAUAGCUGUUCAGUGGGAUUUUCAUUUCACUUAAUGCCUACACAAAGAGAUGCGGCGGCGCUUUAGUGUUUCAGUCUGUCCGGCUUUUUCUCCUCCGCGCCUGUACCUUCUUCAGCUUUCAUGCUAAUACCACGUCAUUGACGACGUUUACACGGACGGCGGUGAUCUAAUUAUCGACCUUAUUCUGAAUGAGACGUGUAAUAUUCUGAUUAAGGUGUUUACAUGAGUGGCUUUUAGAAUACUCCUGUCAUGUUCCUGUUUUGCGUGUUAUAGAACGUAGAUGGAUUAACGUCACGCGUCAUUACGUCCCCGCGCCACGCCGUCCGACGUCCCUCCGGAAUUUCACGUAUCGACGUACAGUCGGUCUUUGUUAUGGGACCGUAUACAGUUUCGGGUGUUUUUAUUUUUAAUUUUACGAAAGCUUCGAGUGCGGUUAAUUAUUAGUCGUGUUAUACGUGCAAAUAGACGACCGCUCGAAGCCGUGGGCUGCGUCCCAAACCGCGUACUCACCUAAACACGUGUACUCUCCUACUAUAUAGCAGGUAAGUACGCGGUUUGGGACGCAGCCGUGCUCUCUCGUUUGGCGUCAGACGAUCGAGCGCUGCCGUGUGUGAACGUGUCCUGUCUCACGAUGCGGUGAAAACUCUCACACGACGUUAAUAGUGUGAUUACGUGUCUGUAACGUGACUAAAACAGGAAAACUCCACACGUCUUAAUUCCAUCUGUGUUUACUUCCAGUGUGACUUUAAUGGGAUUAAGAUCAUCAAUAAUCUCUGUUUACAUGCUAGUGUCUUAAUCAGAGUAUCGUCUUAAUCGGAUUAAUAUCGGAUUAUCGUUGUCCAUGUAAACGCACUGAAUGUCGUCUCAUACUGUAGAUCGCUAACUAGCCAAGCCGAGUCUCUGUGGAGCGUGACUCAGCCGCAUUGCAUCCUGGGAGUCCGAGUCCAGCGUUUGCACCGGCGUCUCGACGACGUAUCCUGGAUCUCUUAUUAAUCUAACACUGAAAAAAGAAGUCUUGUUUUAGGAGCUAAGAUGAAACCUGACGUAUUGAUUCAUUCACGGGCCGAAAAUGAUUUAUCCUGGUCGAGGUGUCUGUGGUUUAAAUCAUUCGUUUGUUGAUAUGUUUUAAGACGUAGAACUAGAUUCAUUCGAACAUAUCAGAAUCCAAUAUAAAAUAAUGACUGGGAUCGGAAUAGAAAUAAAACGACACUAUAACAAUGAGUUGCUAAUCGAUUAAGUAUCUUCUAAACUCAGUGUAACUAAAGGGUUAAAACAUGUGGAAGCAAAUAAGACAAACCCGGUGAUUCAUUUGUCACGGUCUGAGGAAUGAUUCGCUUCCCUUUUGUUGUAUUUAUUUAUUUAGUCGGGGGUUUUUUUUUUAUCAUUUGAUCUGAGAUCCGUGAUUUUCUGCAUGAUGCUGCGUUCUGUACAGCCUCCAGGUCCAUAUGACUUUCAUUAUUUAUCACGCAUGCUGUAGAGAAGCAUCAGGGAAAGAGAGAGAGAGAGAGAGAGAGAGAGAGAGAGAGAAGUAUGGCCAACACAUUGCUAUUCAGCUUUACAAGCCUUUGAUCCGCUGUCACCUUCAAUCUUCAGCAUUACAGACAGAGAAAUCCGUCGCUCCGUGUUCUGGUGCGUUCUGGCGCAGAGGCUCGGUUAUAAUCUCUCUUCCCAAAUCCACCGCAUGUUUAAAUAUUCGACUUUUCACUUUCCGUGUACGACUGCAUGCAAAACCUCUCACUUCUAACUCACCGGGCAUGAGAGGAUCGAUUUGAAUCAGUGAAAUAUUUUUCUUUUUCACAGACACAACAUCAAAUCAGUUCACGAUUCCGUUCGCUCUCGCCCUCGACAACGUGUUUCCUGUUAUUGCAGCAUUUUCAUCUAGAUCCAUGAUCGAAGAAUUAGUCACUUUAACUUCCAAGAUUCGGAUUAUAAACCUGAUGAAUCAGAAUCGAAUGGUGUUAACGCAUCCGGUGCUGCAAAAUGAUUCGUUUUUAUAAUUUGUCCAUCUAAGCGCUCUAUAAGAAUAAUGUUUUUUUUUUUUCUCUCCACAUUUCACAUUUGUUUAAGAGAAAUGCAGUUACAUCAUCAAACGUGGGAGUUUACAGCGAAGUGACGCCCGAAUCGUGAACGAAUCGUUCUUUUGAAACGAUUCUUUCGAAACGAAUCGGUCAAAACCGCUUCACGAUUCAAUUAUAAUCGAACGAAUCGAUUCUA